UGGGGAAUUUUGGACAAUGGGCGAAAGCCUGAUCCAGCAAUGCCGCGUGUGUGAAGAAGGCCUUCGGGUUGUAAAGCACUUUUGUCCGGAAAGAAAUCCUUGGCUCUAAUACAGUCGGGGGAUGACGGUACCGGAAGAAUAAGCACCGGCUAACUACGUGCCAGCAGCCGCGGUAAUACGUAGGGUGCAAGCGUUAAUCGGAAUUACUGGGCGUAAAGCGUGCGCAGGCGGUUUGCUAAGACCGAUGUGAAAUCCCCGGGCUCAACCUGGGAACUGCAUUGGUGACUGGCAGGCUAAGUAUGGCAGAGGGGGGUAGAAUUCCACGUGUAGCAGUGAAAUGCGUAGAGAUGUGGAGGAAUACCGAUGGCGAAGGCAGCCCCCUGGGCCAAUACUGACGCUCAUGCACGAAAGCGUGGGGAGCAAACAGGAUUAGAUACCCUGGUAGUCCACGCCCUAAACGAUGUCAACUAGUUGUUGGGGAUUC
rnacentral:rRNA from 1 species